AUACGGAAGGUCCGGGCGUUAUCCGGAUUUACUGGGUUUAAAGGGAGCGCAGGCGGAGAUGCAAGCGUGACGUCAAAUUUCGGGGCUCAACCCCGUCUCGCGUCGCGAACUGCGUCCCUUGGUUGCGGGAAGGGGAGGCGGAACUCGUGGUGUAGCGGUGAAAUGCAUAGAUAUCACGAAGAACUCCGAUCGCGAAGGCAGCCUUCCGGCCCGUCAACGACGCUCAUGCUCGAAGGUGCGGGUAUCAAACAGGAUUAGAUACCCUGGUAGUCCGCACAGUAAACGAUGGACACCCGCGGUUUGGCCUGUAUGGCUGAGCCGCCAAGCGAAAGCGUUAAGUGUCCCACCUGGGGAGUACGCCGGCAACGGUGAAACUCAAAUGAAUUGACGGGG
rnacentral:rRNA from 1 species